rnacentral:rRNA from 1 species
GCAAGUCGAGGGGUCACAGAGGUAGCUUGCUAUUUGCUGACGACCGGAGCACGGGUGCGUAACGCGUAUACAAUCUACCUUAUACUGGGGAAUCGCCUUUGGAAACGAAGAUUAAUGCCCCAUAGUAUUAUUGAAUGGCAUCGUUUAAUAAUUAAAACUCCGGUGGUAUAAGAUGAGUAUGCGUUCUAUUAGUUAGUUGGCAAGGUAACGGCUUACCAAGACAUCGAUAGAUAGGGGUCCUGAGAGGGAGAUC